rnacentral:rRNA from 1 species
UACGUAGGGUGCGAGCGUUAAUCGGAAUUACUGGGCGUAAAGCGUGCGCAGGCGGUUUGUUAAGUCUGAUGUGAAAUCCCCGGGCUUAACCUGGGAACUGCAUUGGUGACUGGCAGGCUUUGAGUGUGGCAGAGGGAGGUAGAAUUCCACGUGUAGCAGUGAAAUGCGUAGAGAUGUGGAGGAAUACCGAUGGCGAAGGCAGCCUCCUGGGCCAACACUGACGCUCAUGCACGAAAGCGUGGGGAGCAAACAGG